rnacentral:rRNA from 1 species
UACGGAGGGGGCUAGCGUUGUUCGGAAUUACUGGGCGUAAAGCGCGCGUAGGCGGACCUGCAAGUCGGGGGUGAAAGCCCGAGGCUCAACCUCGGAACUGCCUUCGAUACUGCGGGUCUCGAGUCCGGGAGAGGUGAGUGGAAUUCCUAGUGUAGAGGUGAAAUUCGUAGAUAUUAGGAAGAACACCAGUUGCGAAGGCGGCUCACUGGCCCGGUACUGACGCUGAGGCGCGACAGCGUGUGGAGCAAACAGG